GUUUAGGCCAUGCCUGGCAUCAGUAACUCAGGCUGUUUCCCACACUACAGGCCAGCACUGUGGGCUCUCAGUUUAUUGGGAAAUGGAAAUAAGAGGGAAGGACAAAAGUCCACUGGGAAGCAGACUGGACAGAAAGGAACUCUGAGCAGCUAAACUCUGACUAAUCCCAGGGUAUACCUGCGUUUUCUCUUCACCAGAUUUUUCCUACCAGGAAGAGCAUGUGCUGACCAACAGACAUGAAUUUCAGCCUGGUAGUUACAACAUUCACAGUAUACCCACAUCACUAAGCUGGGAGGCACAUUUUGAGACCCAGAAUCCUGACACCUCCAUGCCUUCAAAAGGAUACCGAGGUCUCCCUGUAUUGCCCAGGCUGGUCUCAAACCCCUGGCCUCCAGCGAUCCUUCCACCUCAGCCUCCCAAAGUGCUGGAAUUACAGGAGUUUCACUCGUUGCCCAGGCUGGAGUGCAACGGCGCGAUCUCAGCUCACUGCAACCUCCGCCUCCCCAGUUCAAGCGAUUCUCCUGCCUCAGCCUCCUGAGUCACUGGAAUUACGGGCGCCUGACACCACGCCCAGCUAAUUUUUUGUAUUUUUAGUAGACAUGGGGUUUCACUAUGUUGGCCAGGCUGGUCUCGAACUCCUGACCUCAUGAUCCUCCUGCCUCAGCCUCCCAAAGCACUGGGAUUACAGGUGUGAGCCACUGUGCCUGGUCCAUUAAAAACAUUUGUAAAGCUAUGGUGUUGAUAAAGUAUUAUGAAAGACUGCAAAAAAAGAUGGCUAAUUUUUAGUUAUUAUUGCACAUGUUUAGAGGAGCUAAUGACAUUUUCUAUGAUUAAUAAAAGACAUUAUUUAUGUUUUUAUUUAUGUAUUCCACAACAUUUAUUUUAUUUUCUCCAUUUCAGGAAAACCACUAUGUUGUUACAAUAAAGAUUUUCAUGUAAUUUGUGUUCAAUUGAUAGUAAUAAUGUAACAAGUUAAAAAUGAAGGUAAUUGUGUUUAAAAUUUGAGCAUAUUUUCAUCAAAAUGUAAGUUAAAGUGAUUGUAAAUUUUAAGAUCAUAAUUACUUUGUAUAUCUUCAAGAAAAUUAUUGUUUUAAAAUAUUUAUGCCUAUUAAAAUUAGAAGGCAAAAUAAAAAUAUAUGAAUACCAACAUUUUAAAUAAAAAUCAUUUAAAUAAAGCUGAACUUUUUUUUUUUUUUAAGAGGUCUCACUGUAUUGCCCAGGCUGAUCUUGAAGUCCUUGGCUCAAGCUAUCCUCUCACCUAGG
rnacentral:lncRNA from 1 species